CUACCUAUGUAAACAUAAAAUUUAAAAGAACAACAGACGUCAUUUCUUGAGGAGGUAUGAGAAGAAAAUUCAAAAUUCAAUUUUCGUCUUAGAAAAAGUGUAAAAGCUCAGUGCUUAUCCAACAAAUAAAAGUCAUAAAUUCUUCACUCAAUAUGCAUCGUAGGAACUUAUAUAAAGUCCUUGAUUCAGUUAUUUUUGAUCUUUUGUAACCUACCUAGAGUAUUGUUAUUAACUAUUAUUUGUGGAAUCCAGGUUUAUUCCAAGAUGGUGGUAAAAUGUGAUGCUGUGGAUUGCAAGAACACUUUAGACUCGUUGUCUCAUUUCACAGACUACCUUCGAGAAAAGUGGAUCCAAGCUCUACGGAGAAAAGAUUGAAAAGAGUUGUUGCUCCAUGUAUUUUCCCCACGUUUCCUUCUUACCACCAGCCAAGAAAGGAACGAGGAAAUAAAUCAGAAAUAUUUUGCCAGUUGAAGAUAUAUAUGUUUGAAUUAAAACAAUACAACAAAAUAUUCAUUUAACAAUGUCCACAUUGUGAUGCAUUAUGAAUUAUGACAGAUAUGUUCACUUUUUCUUUUGCAGGGCCAAGGCUCCAAGUACUGAAGGUAUCACAAAGCUUAGGAAAAAUAACCAUGACAAGUCUCAUAUUGUAAGUGACCAUGAGUAGGCAUACCCAAAGGACAAAAAUCAAGAGCUGAAGUGCAGGGUUGAAAUGUUGCAAAGAAGCAAUGAAAUGUUCAAAAAACGGGGAGUUAGAGCAUCUGGGAAGAAUAAUAAGCUUAUAAACAUCAUUGAUGAGUUGAGAGAAGCAAGUUUUAUCAAAAUGGAAGCUGAUAUAGACAUAGAAAAGUUUAAUGGAGAAGAAUUGGAUCUUGUGAAGCAACUACUCUAAAAGAAAUCAUAACUGCAAAAAGCUAUUCAGAGGAAGCUAUGAAAACUAUGGAUCUAGAGAUGUAUAUUGAAGGUGUGCAGGAGAAGAUAA
rnacentral:lncRNA from 1 species